rnacentral:rRNA from 1 species
AUCGUAAAACUCUGUUGUUAGGGAAGAACAAGUACCGUUCGAAUAGGGCGGCACCUUGACGGUACCUAACCAGAAAGCCACGGCUAACUACGUGCCAGCAGCCGCGGUAAUACGUAGGUGGCAAGCGUUGUCCGGAAUUAUUGGGCGUAAAGCGCGCGCAGGCGGUUUCUUAAGUCUGAUGUGAAAGCCCCCGGCUCAACCGGGGAGGGUCAUUGGAAACUGGGGAACUUGAGUGCAGAAGAGGAGAGUGGAAUUCCACGUGUAGCGGUGAAAUGCGUAGAGAUGUGGAGGAACACCAGUGGCGAAGGCGACUCUCUGGUCUGUAACUGACGCUGAGGCGCGAAAGCGUGGGGAGCGAACAGGAUUAGAUACCCUGGUAGUCCACGCCGUAAACGAUGAGUGCUAAGUGUUAGAGGGUUUCCGCCCUUUAGUGCUGCAGCAAACGCAUUAAGCACUCCGCCUGGGGAGUACGGUCGCAAGACUGAAACUCAAAGGAAUUGACGGGGGCCCGCACAAGCGGUGGAGCAUGUGGUUUAAUUCGAAGCAACGCGAAGAACCUUACCAGGUCUUGACAUCCUCUGACAACCCUAGAGAUAGGGCUUCCCCUUCGGGGGCAGAGUGACAGGUGGUGCAUGGUUGUCGUCAGCUCGUGUCGUGAGAUGUUGGGUUAAGUCCCGCAACGAGCGCAACCCUUGAUCUUAGUUGCCAGCAUUCAGUUGGGCACUCUAAGGUGACUGCCGGUGACAAACCGGAGGAAGGUGGGGAUGACGUCAAAUCAUCAUGCCCCUUAUGACCUGGGCUACACACGUGCUACAAUGGGCAGAACAAAGGGCAGCGAAGCCGCGAGGCUAAGCCAAUCCCACAAAUCUGUUCUCAGUUCGGAUCGCAGUCUGCAACUCGACUGCGUGAAGCUGGAAUCGCUAGUAAUCGCGGAUCA